GAGGGUAUAGCUCAGUGGUAGAGUGCAUACUUAGCAUUUUAGCAUGCACAAGGUCCUGGGUUAAAAAUCCCAGUACCUCCA
rnacentral:tRNA from 1 species